UACGUAGGGGGCAAGCGUUGUCCGGAUUUAUUGGGCGUAAAGAGCGUGUAGGCGGCCAGGUAGGUCCGUUGUGAAAACUGGAGGCUUAACCUCCAGCUGUCGAUGGAAACCAUCUGGCUAGAGUCCGGAAGAGGAGAGUGGAAUUCCUGGUGUAGCGGUGAAAUGCGCAGAUAUCAGGAGGAACACCGGUGGCGAAGGCGGGUCUCUGGGCCGUAACUGACGCUGAGGAGCGAAAGCAUGGGGGAGCGAACAGG
rnacentral:rRNA from 1 species